UUGGACCUCUCUCAUUUGAGCCCACAAAACCACAAAAAUCAGGUUAUAAAUUCAGAGUUUCAGUGAAACAAAAUUCCAUUCUAUUCCUAUUACCCUGUCUGGGAAAAAGAUAGUGAGAGAAGAACCCUGGGGAAAAAGGAAGAGAAGCAAAAAUACUCUGAGGUUUCCUUGAAACAAAACCCUUGACAAAACCUGGAGAGAAA
rnacentral:lncRNA from 1 species